UGGGGAAUAUUGCACAAUGGGCGCAAGCCUGAUGCAGCCAUGCCGCGUGUGUGAAGAAGGCCUUCGGGUUGUAAAGCACUUUCAGCGAGGAGGAAGGUGGUGAACUUAAUACGUUCAUCAAUUGACGUUACUCGCAGAAGAAGCACCGGCUAACUCCGUGCCAGCAGCCGCGGUAAUACGGAGGGUGCAAGCGUUAAUCGGAAUUACUGGGCGUAAAGCGCACGCAGGCGGUUUGUUAAGUCAGAUGUGAAAUCCCCGGGCUCAACCUGGGAACUGCAUUUGAAACUGGCAAGCUAGAGUCUCGUAGAGGGGGGUAGAAUUCCAGGUGUAGCGGUGAAAUGCGUAGAGAUCUGGAGGAAUACCGGUGGCGAAGGCGGCCCCCUGGACGAAGACUGACGCCAGUCGAAGCGAUGGGGAGCAAACAGGAUUAGAUACCCUGGUAGUCCACGCUGUAAACGAUGUCGAUUUUGGAGGUUGUGCCCUUGAGGCGUGGCUUCCGGAGCUAACGCGUUAAAUCGACCGCCUGGGGAGUACGGCCGCAAGGUUAAAACUCAAAGGAAUUGACGGGGUCAUAGCUGUUUCCU
rnacentral:rRNA from 1 species